UUUAAAAAUCACGAACAUGUGUUCGAGUUUUCAUAUAAUACGAUUUGUAUUUUAAUAUAAGAAAGCUCACCUUGAUCGCUUACUUUCCUCAACUUGAAUCUUUCGUUCCGAUUUUACUUGCGAACGUACCCUUUUUAAAAUAUCACAAUAGGAAAAAUACCAAUUUAGUUAUAAACUAAUCUAAUUAAAUAAGAAAGAAAACUCAAAGUUUAAACUAAUCUAUUAUUAUUAUUAUUAUUAUUAUUAUUAUUAUUAUUAUUAUUAUUAACAAAUUUCCAAAGCUUACACUAUUUAUUUUAGCUUACUUAACCAUUUUAUUCUUAAGCCCAAAAUAAUAAAAAAAAUUUCGAAAUAGGCCUUACAAAAUACUAUGUAUUGAAGCCUCCAAUGAAUUUGAAGGAAUUGGGCUCGAAUUAUUAUAAUUUCUAAUUCCCUCCUCUUCUUAGCCCAAUAAACAGCCCAAUUCCUAAAACUCUAGCCCAAAGGAAAAAAAAAACUAACCCUACAUAACUAAGCCAUCAUCUUCUCCCUCAUUUCACAAAAUGCACAGCCUCCUUCUCUCCCCUCUCUCUCGUCGCCGAUCCGCCGCCCUGCCAGCGCCGCCGCUACGACGGCGUCCCUCUCCUCCCUCUCGUCUCUCUCCCUCUCCUAUCCCUCUCUCUCUUCUCUUCUCUCUUCAUCGUCGCGCCGCCAUCGUCACCAUCUUUCUCCCGCUCCGCCGCCACCGCCGCUGUGCAUGCACAGCCGACGGCUUUGUCGCCCUCCUCCCGGAAGUCCGCCGGUCUGCAUGCUCCGUCCCUCUCUCGGCCGGUCUCUCUCUCGGUUCGUCGCACCGACGCUGCGGAUCUGCCGCCGUCACGAGUCCGCCCCGCCGUCGUCGCCCAGAAUCUUCCCCCAUCCGCUGACGCCGUUUCUCGACAGGUAUGAUCGGCUCAAGUUCGUGGCCGUCCACGUUGAAGUGUCCGUCUUCUUAAGACAUACAAUGUAUAGAUGAAAUUUUCGUUUGACUUCGUUGGAUGUGUCGGACAUUAAAUUUUGGGAUCUUAUUAUUUAUUCAUUUAUUUAAAUUUAUUA